rnacentral:rRNA from 1 species
GACGAACGCUGGCGGCGUGCUUAACACAUGCAAGUCGAACGGAAAGGCCCUGCUUUUGUGGGGUGCUCGAGUGGCGAACGGGUGAGUAACACGUGAGUAACCUGCCCUUUACUUUGGGAUAACUUCAGGAAACUGGGGCUAAUACCGGAUAGGAGCUCCUGCUGCAUGGUGGGGGUUGGAAAGUUUCGGCGGUUGGGGAUGGACUCGCGGCUUAUCAGCUUGUUGGUGGGGUAGUGGCUUACCAAGGCUUUGACGGGUAGCCGGCCUGAGAGGGUGACCGGCCACAUUGGGACUGAGAUACGGACCAGACUACUACGGGAGGCAGCAGUGGGGAAUAUUGCACAAUGGGCGGAAGCCUGAUGCAGCAACGCCGCGUGCGGGAUGACGGCCUUCGGGUUGUAAACCGCUUUAGCAUGUGACGAAGCGUGAGUGACGGUAAUGGGUAAAGAAGCACCGGCUAACUACGUG